rnacentral:rRNA from 1 species
UACGUAGGGUGCGAGCGUUGUCCGGAAUUAUUGGGCGUAAAGAGCUUGUAGGCGGUUUGUCGCGUCUGCUGUGAAAAUCCGGGGCUCAACCCCGGACUUGCAGUGGGUACGGGCAGACUAGAGUGUGGUAGGGGAGCUGGAAUUCUUGGUGUAGCGGUGAAAUGCGUAGAUAUCAAGAGGAACACCUGAGGUGAAGACGGGUUGCUGGGCUGACACUGACGCUGAGGCGCGAAAGCAUGGGGGAGCGAACAGG